UACGUAGGGGGCAAGCGUUGUCCGGAAUCAUUGGGCGUAAAGCGCGUGUAGGCGGCCCGAUAAGUCCGUUGUGAAAACUCGAGGCUCAACCUCGAGACGCCGAUGGAAACCAUGUGGCUAGAGUCCGGAAGAGGAGAGUGGAAUUCCUGGUGUAGCGGUGAAAUGCGCAGAUAUCAGGAAGAACACCCGUGGCUAAGGCGGCUCUCUAGUACGGUACUGACGCUGAGACGCGAAAGCGUGGGGAGCGAACAGG
rnacentral:rRNA from 1 species